AGAACGAACGCUGGCGGCAGGCCUAACACAUGCAAGUCGAACGCUCUAGCAAUAGAGAGUGGCGCACGGGUGCGUAACGCGUGGGAAUCUACCCUUGACUGCGGAACAACAUCGGGAAACUGAUGCUAAUACCGCAUAAUGUCUUCGGACCAAAGAUUUAUCGGUCAAGGAUGAGCCCGCGUUGGAUUAGCUAGUUGGUGAGGUAAUGGCUCACCAAGGCUCCGAUCCAUAGCUGGUCUGAGAGGAUGAUCAGCCACACUGGGACUGAGACACGGCCCAGACUCCUACGGGAGGCAGCAGUGAGGAAUAUUGGACAAUGGGGGCAACCCUGAUCCAGCCAUGCCGCGUGAGUGAUGAAGGCCUUGGGUUGUAAACUCUUUUAGAUGUGUACGAUGAUGACGGUAACAUCAGAAAAGCUCCGGCUAACUUCGUGCCAGCAGCCGC
rnacentral:rRNA from 1 species